AGAUUUGCACAGUGGCACUAUUGCCAAUGAACGGGUUUUAUCUGAGGUACGAUUAUUGCUAAUUGAAAACUUUUCCCAUUAUCCCCCCAUGAAGACUUGAAAUAUAGUCAGCAUUGACGAUUUUUGACAGUCUCUAUGGAGC